rnacentral:lncRNA from 11 species
AAAAGAUUGGGAGCAACUUGAUGACAGAGAACAGGAAAAGGGUCGCAGCAUUAGGAAGGUUGAGAACCACUGAACUAGAGGAUUACGUUAACGAAUGGCGGCCGGCAAUCCAAUAUCUCAACAGAAAAAGACAUCCUCAGGCCUUGGUCUUUGCAGCGUCCUAUCAGCUCCUUGGCCAGCUGGUGCUGGAAGUCUCACGCCUGGCGCAUGGCAGCAUCCCGCUCCCGCUGGAGUGCCUUCUGGGUUUGGCACCGUUCAGCCUCCUUCCAGUGUAGCAGCUGCCGGAUAUCAGCCUCACGCUCCCGCAGUCCGGCCUCCUUCAGCUUGUGGAGCUCACGGGUCCUCUGCUGCUGAUACUUGGAGCGGAUCUUUUCGACCAGUAACUUUUGCUCCCUCUCUGCUUCCUCACGUAGCUCUCGGGCCUCCGGGGUAUAGUGGCGCCAGGCCUCCUGGGAGAAGAGACGCUCUUCCUCCACUUCUGCCCACAGGGCCUGCAGUUUCUGGCGGUGGUCUUUCUGGAAGGGGGCCGAGGAGGAGGCCGAAGCGGGGAACGCAGCGAAGGACAGCCACCUCUCCCUCCUUUCGGUCCUCUGUGAGGGAGAAGCCAGGCGAGGCCUCAGGCAUUGGUGCCUUCCCACUUCUGACUGAAGGACCAUCUUAGUCAUGUUCUCGGGGGGAAAAAGAGUUCCUGAGGGUACGUUGGCAAGAAGAGCCUCUGUGGAUGUGCAGCAAACAGUUAGGCACAAUAACUUUCAAAUCUAUGGAAUGUUUGUGACCGCUCUGUUAUGUGCCCCCUCCCCACCACGGUCUCUUCCUCCUCCAUUCCACCCCCACCCCUUUCUGGCAGGGAGCAUCUUUAUCCCAGUGUUGUGUUGCACAUUUUAAAUCGUGGUCCACUAACUCUAACAGGCUUUGGCCUACACUUUUGUAAUAAAAAAUACCCAAUUAACAUUUAAUAUUCUAAUAGUAGGGAUAUUAGGCAGGGCCUCUCUGACCCCCCCCCCCCCCAUGUUGCUAGUAGCCACAAUAAUGACAGGGGGCCUGCAUUACACUGGGAUCUCUAUCACAUCCUUUCAUGUCUUGUGACUCGGAGAGGACGAUGGGAGGAAGAUGGGGAAAGUCAAGUGACAAGACAUGAAAGGAGAUCCACAGAGACUCAACAUAAGGUGUGGUCAACAGUGAUACAGGAAGCGGUGUCAAUAAAGAGGUUUCACAAUUGUACAUACACUGAGCGUCUGUUUCCAUGGUCAGCAGCCUCAAGUGGAUCAUUUAACUAGAUAAACAAUUCUGAGCUUAUCUGGACUAACACGAGAAAUUAUCUAUCUCUACAUAUAUAUGAACAAUGUUUUUGGAUGAUUACCUGACUUGGAAAACAGAGGGAUUUGUCCAACCUCCUUGUUCUCAUGGAAGCACUUCCUCAGGGAUAUGGAAAUGUGACUAUAUCUGGGCUACAUCUUGUUCUAUCUUAUAAAGAAGUGUAUACAUCUAUGUAUAUAAAAAUGUAAUGUGCAUUUUUCCCUUGGAGUAAACAACAAAACCAC